CAACUACAGCCCUUUCAUCCUCAUUUUCUUGACCUUCCAUUUCCACUAUCAUUUUCUCAUAUAUUUUCCGCGACGCUCCACUCUUCAUUUUUCGAUAUACUGUACCUUACUGCUAAAAUUUGGGGUUUGUCUUUCCAUUUCUCAAUUCUACGAUUCCAUGGAGUUUUUCUCAGUUCUUUCUUAUGGCCAUGGCAGGAAACCUUUGUCAUCUUAUCUCUUGCUCAAACUUCAGGAAACCUUUGUCAUCUUAAUAAGGGUAUAUGUUAGUUCCUCUUUUGGGUAUAAUGCCAAACAGAAGCAUGCCAUCAAAUCUUCAUCCUACUCCGUGGGCUCUUUUGAUGGGGCUUGACCCCUUCAACAUGAUUUGUAAUGGUUGAGCAUGGAUGUAGAUGCUAUUCGGCUUAGGCAGAGAACAAAAGGCGAAGCUUCUAGAAAAUGAAGGCAUGAGAGGUUAAGAUAGACAAAAGGGUCCUUCUUUCUCAUUUAUAUAUUUUGUUAUAUUCGAUUUGUCAUUCCAAAUUUAGGGAGUUGUCAUUUACUCUAUUAAUCAAUUUAUUCUACCAUUUUCUAUUUAUCUAUUUGAUUUCUUUCCCAUCUUCUGGUUGAUGUAUUUGUCCCAACACUGACGAUGGUGCAUGCUCUAAUGAGAUGGCCACGACAAAUACCUUUCGAGAAAUUUUGAUGACACUCCCGGGUAAGAGGAAACCACUUCUCUUCUUGAGGUAUUAGCUAUUUUGAUAGAACUCUUUGCACUAUUACUUGACAGUUUAAAGUAUAAAAUCUUUUCUGUUGUUCAUGAAAAUUUUGUAUUAGGCUGGCAAUUUUCUUGAUAUGAUUAGCAUGUACUAAUACUAGGUUGGUUUUACCCGAUGAAUGAUGAUUUAUCUUCAUUUUCUUGGAGUGGUUCUUGCCAUAUUGUUGCAAGGUAAGUGGAUAUUCCUUUGAUAUAUGUGAUCAGUUUAUAACAAAUUAACGUAAAUGCUUUGUACCUCUGUUUUCGUCUUAGGGUUCACGGCCGACAAGUCAUCCUUGGAAUUAACUUCAUCUACAAUUUUUACGUCUGUUCAUUUUCAAAAAAAAAAAAAACAAUUUUUACGUCUGUUUCACUUGCCACAUCACAAAUAACUAACUGUUCUUUUAUGCUACUGAAAUAUAUAAUAGUCCAUUCAAGAUGUUUCUUAUGGUGCUCUGAUGAAAACCGCUUCUACACUGCAGUUAUAGAUAGAUUUUUUGGUUCAAUAUAGCAAUGUUAACUGUGCUCUUUCAAGUGCCAAUAAGAACCUACUAUAUGAGUACACUACUGUGUUUUAACUGAUUUUUGCUUUUGUUCUUUCAUUGAUUUCAUUCUCCUUAUACUAAGCAUGGUAGAUGCUAAUAGCUUUACUGCAAAUUUUCUUAAUUGCCUACAUUGUUUUAAAAGUAAUGUAUUUUUGGAGGAUCUGAAAACCAACUGAGUCUGACUCACGUUGGGCUGUGUCUUCUAUUGUGUAUUUGGACGCUAACAGGAAGGCAAUGUAAAAAGAAAAGGAGAAUGAACGCAGCACUAAAAAUUUGUACCGAAGCAACUUAAAUUGUACUCUGAGCAAGGACAAACAGGUGUACCUUUUGCGUGUUCAUUGUUUAAGUCCCCAAGUGUCCACAACGGCUCGGUUGUCCUUUCAUCACCCAUAUACCACUGAUCUCAUCUUUGAUUUCUCUAUUCCCCCUCAACCCAGUGCCCACUUUUAAGAUAUCAUUCUCCACUUUCACUAUUCUUUAAAUUCUGUUGGCUUGGUAUAUUGGUUUGCAUGUGCAUUUAUCUAUAUUUGAUUGUUGGUGGCUAAGGUAAGCCUUCGAUGUUGUUGAUUUUGGAACCUUUGCUCAUCUUCUCAAGUUAUUCAUGAUUAAUUCUCUGUUUUUUGGUUCUUAAUUUAGUUGGGAAUCAUCUUUUUCACGUUUUUCAUGUUUUCUUUGUGUGACUUGAUAUUCAACUGUCAGAGUUACUACACGAACCUUAUAGUUUACUACUUCUUAAUUCAUUGUACCAAGAUUAGUCAACAUAUAUACAAAUCUGAGAGGGGAAAGUUUGAAGCUCGCUAUUCGAAUUUACUUACAUUUUAAAGCGACGGAUGCUUUGCGGUCAAAUGAUGGAUGUUCUCAAGCUGGCAAAGAUAGUAGCUAUGAAAGUUUAACUAUGUCACAACAGCUUAACAAAGCUCAUGAAGUUGUACCGGCAUGUAACAGAUAUGCUUUAUUGUUUCAUGGGUUGGCUGUGACUCACAACAAAUCAUGGAAGAUCUUGCAUUGGAGGUUCAGAAAGUCUGCUCAUUUGAAGUUGGAUGCUUUGCUGUUGUGGUUCAUUUGAAGGUGAAGAAUAAAGUUAUCUUCAAGGAAAUGAAAUCAUUUAGCUUUUGUUCUCUAUCGGUGAAUUUCUUUUUUUGUACUUUAAAGUGAUAAUCACUUAUAAUGGAAUGUUUGUUUUGAAUUUGAUUGGAUAAGUCCAAUACCAAUAGAUGUUACUAGACAUUACUGAUGUUAUUUUGUUUUUCAUCAAAUUCUUUAUUGCUAUCGUUCACCGAAUGACUGCAAAGCAUCUAUCGCUUUAAAACAUAAAAUGUAAGCACGGGCCGCGCCCCUCUAGUCUCUCUAUAUUGGAACAUCUAUCGCUUUAAAACGUAAAAUGUAAGCACAGGUCACGCCCCUCUGGUCUCUCUAUAUUAGAAAUGACAGUUGGACGAACAAGGGCAAUUUUGUAAUAAUGAAUGUUAUUCGUGGGCAUUUUAGUAAUUUCGUUCUUCAAUUGAGGCCCCUUCAUAAGCCAAGUGACUUAGAGCCCGUUUGCAUGGGCUUAUAAGUUGGUCAAACCAACUUAUAAGCCCUUUUUAGCUUAUUGUAGUGUUUGGCUAAUGCUAAAUUUAAGCCAUAAAGUGCUUAAAGUUGCCCAAAAAUGAAAAGUUAGGAUUCCUAACUUUUUUUUUGGAAGGGCUUAAAGCCAUUUUCGUUGACCAUGAAAAUUACUUUUAUAUCCCUUAUAUUUUAUUUUAAUUCUCAAAAUACCCUCCUAGCAAGCCCUAAAAUUCACCAUCUGUUUUCAUUUCAUUCUCCAACAACGCAGCCUCUUCAUCAUCUUCUACAACAUAGCAGCCUCCACGAUCUGUGUUCUUCAUCUUCUACAAAACCCAAAACUUUCUUCACUCCCACACUCUCUUUCUCUCUCUAGAAAUUUCCCCAAAUCGUUGGGUUCUUAAAAAAUGUAAAGUUGUAAAAAUCAAUGUUGAAAAUAGCUUGAGUUCUUCAAGUUUCUACUGAUCUAGUAUCUAAGUUCGCUGGUUUCGAAGAAAUUGCUUCUUCGCUGCUUCUUCUUUUGUUGGUUUUAAAGUGUUCCUUUUGGUCACUAUUAUAGAGAAGUUUGGUGUUUUGUCUGUUAAAGACACAUUAGGAAAAAUCCUAGUUAUUGCUGAAAUGGUAUCACUAAUGCUGUACCAUUGUACCAAUUUAUCGGUGAUUUAUUUUAAAGGUUUUUAAUUCAGAAAAGUUUAAGUGAAUACAGAGAAAAAGACCAAUUCUGAAUGGAUUGCUUAAGAGGAUGACACAGAUAGCUCAACUGCCUUUUGGACUUAAGCUUAUGUGGAGGUGCAGAAUAAUGACAGCUUAAUUUGACUAUUAGUUUGAAGCUUUAUUGGUCUUUGAAGAAUCAAGAUGCAUAUGCAAUCUUUAACACAAAAUAGUAAGGUGAUAUUAACAGAGAAGUAGCACUAGUUUUAAACGCGAUAAUCCAUGCUGCCAACAUUAUGAUGUGGCAGAGUUCAUGAACGUUUAUUUCUCCUUUCUUCAGAUUGUUUACAUUCAAUCAUGCCGGAAACUAGUAAAGCACGAAGUAAUGCUAAGUGGGAUGAUGAUGCCAACAUUAAAUUUGUAGAUUUGUGUGAAAAUGAGAUUAGACAAGGACGUAGACCACACACUCAUUUAAAUAGAGAUGGAUGGAAUAAUGUUGUUGAAGAAUUCAACAAAGCCACGGGAAGAAACUAUGAUAAAAAAACAAAUGAAAAAUCAUUGGGAUAACAUGAAAAAAGAUUGGAUUCUUUUUAAGAAGUUGAUGAGAGGGGAGACAGGUUUAGGAUGGGAUGCCACGAAAAAUACAAUUAUGGCAGAUGAUGAUUGGUGGGAGCGAAAAAUUAAGUGAUGCUUCCACCAGCAGACUCCCAAAAGCAUGUAGAAGGUCUUCAUGCUCGAGUAUUUGGACUUCUUAUGGCCUUCUUCAUGACUGUGUUGAUGCUUUUCCGCUCACUUACAUGCCGUGUUACCAAGAAACUUCAAGGUGCAUCGACUGUUGAGGACCAACCUGUUCAAGACUUAAUUUUGAUGCUAGCCCUAAAGAGGAGUUUCGACCCCCUUCACCCACUCCAGCUUUUACAGAAACUCAACUGCUCUCCGUUGUUCUCAAGAGACUGGGUGAACUUGAAGACAAAGUAAAUACACUUCAAGAAAAGCCAUCUGAGAUGCCUUAUGAGAAAGCGGAAUUGCUAAAUGCAGCUGUGUGCCGAGUAGAUGCCCUAGAAGCUGAGUUAAUUGCAACCAAGAAGGCAUUACAUGAGGCUUUGAUGAGGCAAGAAGAACUUCUCGCUUACAUCGAUGGUCAAGAAGCUGCCAAGUUCCAAAAAAAGAAGAAGUUUUGCUUUUAAGAUGAAGAUGCUUCAGGAAGUGGAUCUCGGAUUUUCAACUGUAGUAUCCAAAUGAGAUACAUAUUUGUAAUGUGUAUUGGCAAUACUCCCAGUCAUUGUGCAGUGGAUCGGUAUUGAGUGUUUCCUUCUUUUUUCCCCCUUUUUGGAUCCUCUGUUUCAUUUGCAAAAUGAGGUGAACAUUUUCUCAUGUGAAAAUAUAUAUUUUCUGUUA